GGAGAGGUGCCGGAGCGGUCGAUCGGGGCGGUCUCGAAAACCGUUGUACCCUUUACGGGUACCGAGGGUUCGAAUCCCUCCCUCUCCGCCA
rnacentral:tRNA from 2 species